GGGCAAAGUUGUUUUAGCGAUCUGGUUGCAACUAAGUAUUGGAGUUGUUGUGCCUUGAAGCUAGAAACUGCCUUGAAUUUCUACAUAGGGAAAUGUAAUCUAUUGCUUUCUUACAGAUUGCCAUUUGCCAGCUGACCUGUGACACAGCAGCAGUGUAUUACAUUUUCAAUGAGCAGUCUGUCUGGAGCUGCUAGUGGGAGAAACUGCUUCCUGGUUUCUAGGUUCUUUGCUCUGGGGUAGUUUAAGAUAAAUAUGGUAUCUGCCUCUACAUCAGUAUUAAGGGGAGGCAGAUGAUGAAUAAAUGAACAAAAAAUAUAAUAAUGGAUAUGUAUUUAUAAGUGCUAUGAAGAGAAGAAAUCCAAGCAAGAAGAGAGUGAAAUGAGGUAUCCUGUAAGAACAAAUUGCUGCCUCCUCCAGGUGGAAAGGGAUCAAAUAUAAUUAAUCUGUGUGUGCCACACAGUAGCUUGAUAGUUUAAUUGAGGAAUGUUGACAUAUUGAGAGCUCAGCAUUACUUUCUGCUAUCAGCAGUGACGAAGCCAGUGCCUGGGAUUCUGAGAUGCAGCCACAUCAUAAAGUUUCAUUACUCAAUUGCAGUAGAGAAAACCUCAAAGGAACCACUUCUAAUGGAAACUGCCUCAAUUCCUGGUCAAGUCUCACAGUCUAACCUGGAGGUGCUCUGAGAUGUGACUAAGUUAAGGAUUUUGAGAUGAAGAGACCAUCCUGAAUUAUCUGAGUGGGUCCUGAAUGUCAUCACAAGAAGCCUUAGAAGAGAGAAGCAUGAAAACCAGAAGAGGAGGAAGAGGCAACCGGGCCAUGAAGACAAGAGAUUAGAGUGAUGUGGCCACAAGUCAAGAAGUGCCGGCCUCCAGCAAAAAACUGGAAGUCAGGAGCAGGAUCUCUCCUAGAGCCUGUGGAGGGAAUGUAACCCUGCCAAUAACUUGAUUUUGGCCCAGAGAAACUGACUUCAGACUUCUGGCCUUCAGGAUGGCGAGAGAAUUAAAUCGCUGUUGUUUUUAGCCCAGUAUGUGGUAAUUUUGUUACAACAGCCACAGAAAACUAGUACAGUGGAUUUUUAGCAGUAGAAUUAAAUUAGCAGUGGAUUAAAGAGCAGUAGAAUUGUGAUUUUAUCAACACUUACUGGAUGGCAGAUUUCCUCUGCAGCAGAAGAGAAUAAAAUGUUGCCUAGGUGAUGCUGACCACCAAAACUUCUGCCAUGGACUCAGCAGUGUGAACAGACCCUGGGAAUCUAUGUACACAUAAAACACCAUGAACAUUUUGCAUUUUCUGAUUUGAACUGAAUAGGCGUUCUACUCUGUAAAUAUUUACAAAAAAACUAAAUAUAUAUUUAUGUUAACCCUUUGCUAGAGAUUUUUAAACAAACAAAAAAAUACCAGAUCUUAUUCACCAUUUUUGAUGUCAGUAAAGUGUGUUACGCAAAUUGGCUUCAAAAAUUAAAACCUGUAACAAACUUUGAGUCUUGAAAUGCAUGCUAUGUAUGAUCUUAAAAACAUGUAGGUAGGCUUAUUAGUUCAUAGAGGUUCAUAGUAUUUCAUAUGUUUUUCAGACUAUAUGUAGGGAAUUGCUGACAAAUCUUGGUAUCACUAAAUCCAUUAUCAUGUUCUGAAAUGUCACCAAAUUGAGCCUACAUAUUGUGAAGAGUGAGUGUAUGGCCAUAUAGUGUAUGGCCUCAAGAUUUUGUCUUAUAAUUUAAGUUUCAAUGUCCACACCUCAUCUAAAUUAGGGUACCAUUUGGACUAUCAUGUUUAAUAAAUUUACCACUAAGUAAUUACAUUAAAAACAAAUUUAUCUUAAAGAUGUAUAAAUUGUUUUCAUUGAAGAAGGUAGUUACUUUGGUAGCCUGUUAACAAAGCCCUGGGAAUUAUAAGACUGUAUUUUCAUGGAGGCAUACAUGUGUAGUAAUUGUAAAAUGGUUCUGUUUUCAUAUCUGGAUCUUUUAUAUGUGUGUCUGAAUUAAGAAAUUCCCAUAAUAAAAUAAAAUCUUAAUUUAGCAAAAUUAAUAUAUAGAAAGAAAUUUUAUAAAUCAUAGACUUUUAAGAUGAUCAAAUAACCUUGCUGAUCAUCUAGUCUCACACCUUUUUUGUAGAAGGCUAGACUAAAAUUCAUAAAUGUAAAUGAUCUCUCUAAAGGCAUAUGGCAAGCUAUUGGACACACCAGGAAUAAAACCCAGGUCUUGGCCGGGCGAGGUGGCUCACGCCUGUAAUCCCAGCACUUUGGGAGGCCGAGGCGGGCGGAUCACGAGGUCAGGAGAUUGAGACCAUCCCGGCUAAAACGGUGAAACCCCGUCU
rnacentral:lncRNA from 1 species